CCUACGGGUGGCUGCAGUGAGGAAUAUUGGUCAAUGGACGAGAGUCUGAACCAGCCAAGUAGCGUGAAGGAUGACUGCCCUAUGGGUUGUACACUUCUUUUAUAUGGGAAUAAAACAGGGUAUGCAUACCCUCUUGUAUGUACCAUAUGAAUAAGGAUCGGCUAACUCCGUGCCAGCAGCCGCGGUAAUACGGAGGAUCCGAGCGUUAUCCGGAUUUAUUGGGUUUAAAGGGAGCGUAGGUGGAUUGUUCAGUCAGUUGUGAAAGGUUGCGGCUCAACCGUAAAAUUGCAGUUGAAACUGGCAGUCUUGAGGACAGUAGAGGUGGGCGGAAUUCGUGGUGGAGCGGUGAAAUGCUUAGAUAUCACGAAGAACUCCGAUUGCGAAGGCAGCUUACUAAACUGUGACUGACAUUGAUGCUCGAAAGUGUGGGUAUCAAACAGGAUUAGAUACCCCGGUAGUC
rnacentral:rRNA from 1 species